rnacentral:rRNA from 1 species
GACAGAGGGUGCAAGCGUUGUUCGGAAUUACUGGGCGUAAAGGGCGCGUAGGCGGCGCGACAAGUCACUUGUGAAAUCUCCGGGCUUAACCCGGAGCGGCCAAGUGAUACUGUAGUGCUAGAGUGCGGAAGGGGCUACUGGAAUUCCUGGUGUAGCGGUGGAAUGCGCAGAUAUCAGGAGGAACACCGAUGGCGAAGGCAGGUCUCUGGGCCACUACUGACGCUGAGAAGCGAAAGCAUGGGGAGCGAACAGG